AAUGGAAAGCUAAAAAACUUACAUUUAAAAAAAAAAAAACUUACUUUUUUGCAAUGCAAUAAUAAAUUCUGAGUAUUUAUUUGCAAGGAAUGAACCUUUAUUAAUCUGGAUUUAGGAAACAAAAAGUAAUAAAUGCAAAGUGCAAACCCCAGAAGGAGAAGGGGUCAGGAGUGUUUCAGUCCACUGUCUAUCUAAUCCCACGAACUUUGGGGUCUAAUCUUCUCUACGAUCACUUACGUGUUGUCAUCUCCCUGAUUUAUGAUUACAUCUAUGCCCUAAAACAUAUAAAACUUUGUUUAUAGAAAACCAGAUAACCUUUAAGAUUUACAAAUGCUAUAUAAUUAGUAUGUAUAUAACCAAGCAUUUAAAUAAUUAUUUGAUUGCUUUACCGCUGGUUUUUUUUUUGGUAAACAAUUUCUUUUCAGUAUCUGGAAGUGUGAAAAGGGUAAACAAAUAUCGUAUAUUAUGAAUAUACAACCAAAAAUAAUAUGAAGCUUUCUUCAUUUGCAGAGCAACCAAAAAUAAUAUCGUAAAAUCCAGAGUGGUUCACGUACUAAUUGGAGUGAACAAUCCUACUUAAGUAAGCCUUGUCAAUAAACAGUGAACCCAAAGAAUAGGAAAAGGACAAAAGAAAGCCGUUUGAUAGAAAAAAUGAUUUAAAAAGAAACUGAGCCGAUAAGAAAACUUUGCUGUGGAAAGUUAACCAAUGAGGAAACGACAGGUCAAAUCGGAGUUCUGAGAGUCUGCCAUUUUAAUGCUCAGUCUGUUUUAUUUGACUGUCUCUCUCACACCCUAUCCUCCCCUCUCCUUCUCAGUCCCUCAGUUUCCUCUUAGACCAGGUCCAGUAGAGGGUCUUCCUCUAUUUUGGGCACAGUAUCAUAUGCGAAUUGGGUUUUAAAAAAAAGAAAAAAGGUCCAACUCGGAAGGGGCGGUUCAUCCCGUCGACCCUGAAGACUCCGUAUGCGAACCACGUGGCAUCCGUCGGUUGGGUGUGGAAAGCGCGUCAUUUUGGGGGAAAACAAAAAAAAAAACCAGAGAAAGAAACAUUUCUCUUUCUUCCCCGAUUUUCUUCUUCUCUCGUUCGUCUUCUCGCGAUUCCGUCGUCACCGCGUGUUUCGUCGAUUAUUCCCGGUGGAGGUGCAAUCCGAACAUCGAUCUUCAGUCCCCAUAGUCCUGGUAAGCUUCGGUUCCUUCUAUUUUUAUGUGUUUAUUUCGAUUUCGCGAUUCUAGGGUUUGCGAUUUUUGGGGGAAAAAAAUUCGGGUUGAAAUCGGGUGUUUUUUUGUUCGAUUUCGGUGGAUUAGAGGGUUUAGCGGUUGUCUUUGGUACCCCAAAUCUAGUAUUCGGUACGAAUUUAGUAGAUUUGCAAACCCUAGAUUCGUUGAAAUUUUAGGGUUUUCGAAAUUGGUCAUAAAUUUUGGGGGUUUCAUUUUGGGAUUGGAAUUGGCCUCUAAUUCGUUCAUUUAAAACCGUAAUAUCCUUAUUUCGAAUACGAUUUCAUGGUUUCAAGAUUGCAAAAUCUGAAUAUUGGUGCGAUGAACUAAGUUUAUUUGGGGCUUUGUGUUGGUAUUCAAACUGGGUCAGGGUCGAUACAUUAUCAAGAUUCGUGUGUAUCUUAAAAGCCAUUUGCUUCUUAUUUGUUGUUUGCUAUAUGGUAUUUUGCUAUAUGAUUGGCUUCUUAUGGUUAUAUGAACUGGUUAAUCGCUUAUGAGUUUUUGGUUGAAAUGGUUACUCAUUUGUUGUUUGCUAUAUAUUAGUAGAUGAAAUGAUCAUAUUGCAUAAGUUCAUAUCAUAUUGUAAUCAUCUGAGUUCAUAUAGUUUAGCUAAUCAUAUUGUUUAGAACUGGGAUAGGAUUGAUUACUAAGUAGGGUAACAUUAAAUUUUUUAACUUCGGCUCAAUUAAUGUACUUGUUUUAAUUCUCUUUUUAUCUUUUGUUGUGAGGAUAAUAUGGACUCAACGGAACAAGGGUUUGGCUUCGUGGCUUCAUCUUCUCCGAUGGUGUAUGGUCCACCGAAACAGGUUAGUUCUCCUGUAACUUAAUGGUUUAGCUGAGUAGUUUAGAUGGAACGUGGUAUAUUUGUGUUUAUUGCUUGAUAGGACUUGUUAGGUGUAGUAAUAAUAUCCACCUGUUCUCAAAAACUCUCAAAACAUGUUCUGAAAAUAAAGCCAAAGCUUUAACUAAUAAUAAGACACCCAACCAACACUUACAAGACACAUAACCACUACCAUUAAGACACUUAAAAGACAUUCAACCAUAAAUCAAUUACUCUCUUUUAACAAAUCCUUUACUUAUCUACUUCACUCUUUCUUUCACGCCUCUCUUCACUCUUUCUCUUUCGCUUCUUCUUCACUCUUUCUCUUUCGCUUCUUCUUCACUCUUCCAACUCGGUGACUAUCAUUAUUGUCUUCACUCUUUCUUUCACACUUUCUUUCAUCGACAUGGAUUCUCAGAACUCAUUUACGCCCUCUGAAGGGUUUGUUCACCUUCUAAGUAGUCAGUUAAACCCUGAAUCGUACUCUCCGUGCAUAGACUUAGGAUCAUCAGACAUUCCCUUGUUUAGCACACAAGGAUCUGAUGGUCCUCCUGAUAUUGCAAUGAAGAGAAAACUCUGGAGUCCGAAGGAAGACUUGCUCCUGAUUAGUUCUUGGCUCAACACCAGCAAGGAUCCCAUAGUGGGCAAUGAACAAAAGGCCGGUGCAUUCUGGAAGAGGAUCCAGAUCUAUUACAACGGAUGCGAGGAGCUUGGAGAUCUGCCAAGAAGGGAAUGGUCGCAGUGCAAGCAACGAUGGGGAAGGAUUAAUGACCACGUAUGUAAAUUUGUGGGUUCAUACGCAGCUGCACAGAAAGAAAAAAGUAGCGGUCAGAAUGAAAACGAUGUAAUGAAGCUUGCACAUGAAAUUUUUUUCAACGACUACGGCGUUAAGUUUGCCCUCGAACACGCAUGGAGAGAGCUGAUGUUCGACCAGAAAUGGUGCACGACCAGCUCACAAAAGGAUGGUGCAUCUGUCAAAAAACGAAAAGUAGAAGACUCGGCACAGUCAUCAUCGUCGAUGCCUGGAAGCGUGAAUGAAAGUGAAGUUGAGGCUCGCCCUGCUGGUGUCAAGGCUUCGAAGGCCAAUGCGAAGAAAGCAGGCGGUGUUAAGGGUGAAAACAAGGAUAUGCAAGAGUUUUCUUCCAUCUUAGCUAUGAAACAUAAGGACCUUGAAAUGAAAGACAAGAUUAGGGACAAGAGGAUUCUUGAGAGCCUCUUAGCUAAGCCUGGACCGCUAACUGAGAUUGAAAUCUCACUGAAAAACAAGUUGAUCAGUUCUGUGUAUGGUCUUUAGGGUACAUCUAUUCAGUCGGUAUGGUUUGGACAGAAAAACAAGUUAGUGGCUGUUGUUUUAUCCUUAACUCUAUUCAGUCGGUAUGGUUUGAGUCAUAUUGUUCUUUGCCUUAGAAUACGAUCUUUCAUGUAUUAAGUUGUUGUUGGAUGUUUGGUAUGAUCUACUAUUUCAUGUUGGUGUUUUCUUGCUUAAAGAUUGAUAUUCAUUCGGUAUUGUUUGAGUGAGAUUGUUAUUUGCCUUAGAAUAUGAUAUUUCAUGUAUAAAGUUGUUGUUUUAUGUUUGGUAUGAUCUUCUAUUUCAUUUUACUUGCUUCUGACCUGCACGUUUUUUUUUUCAGGAAGUGUCACAGCAAGUUGGGCAGUACAACAACCCUGACACGUCCGUGACUAUAUGCUCAAAUCAAGGAGGGGCCAUUUUCUGUUGUUGUUUUCCCUUGUAACCGCAUAUUUUGUCUUGUAAUAUUGACCAUAUGUUCCCGAAGUAGAAUUGUAGCCACAUCUUUGAACUUUAAGCCGUCUAUUUAUAUGUCUUAUAACUAUUGUAUGUUCAUUCGUAGCAAAUUUCCUUCUUCCUCAUUUUCUCAUAUUGAUCUGCAAUCACUUCAUCUUUCCUACAUAGCUUGGUAAACUUCUUUUAUAUUCAAAAACUCUUUCUCUCCUUAUCCUCUCCCACAAAUUUCUAAAUACAUACUAUGGCGGCAUCAUCAAGCAAUGAUCGAUUGGAUGAUGCAUAUGAUGAUGCAGUUGAUGAUGCAUUAGAUGAUGCAUUAGAUGAUGCAUUUGAUGAGAAGUUUGAAGCCAUGUUCAAUUCGUUUGUAAAACAAAAUGAAGAAAAAAUGAAAAAGAAAAAAAGAGCGUACAUUGAAAGAGAGCGUGAAAAAGGUCACUUGCGGUUAUGGAAUGAUUAUUUCAGUGAUGAUGCAACUUAUCCGCCACAUAUUUUCCGACGACGAUUUAGAAUGACCAAAGAUUUGUUCAUGCGUAUUGUCACCCGACUUGCCGAUGAGGUUCCGUACUUCCAGCAAAGAAGAAAUGCCACCGGAAGAUUAGGGCUAUCUCCUCUACAAAAAUGCACGGCAGCAAUCCGUAUGAUGGCAUAUGGUACCGCAGCGGAUGCAGUUGACGAAUAUCUCCGGCUAGGUGCUACUACGGCAUUGUUAUGCUUGGAACAUUUCACUGAGGGUAUAAUAUCCUUGUUCGGAGAUGAGUAUCUAAGAAGACCCACAGCUGAUGAUCUUCAACGGUUACUGAACAUUGGAGAGCAACGGGGCUUUCCCGGAAUGAUAGGAAGCAUCGAUUGUAUGCAUUGGGAGUGGAAGAAUUGUCCAACUGCAUGGAGAGGACAAUAUACACGCGGGUCAGGAAAACCGACAAUCGUUUUAAAGGCAGUUGCAUCACAAGAUCUUUGGAUAUGCACGCGUUUUUUGGACCUCCAGGUACAUUAAAUGAUAUUAACGUUCUUGAUCGUUCACCAGUUUUUGAUGACAUCUUGUAUGGUCGGGCUCCAAAAGUGAGAUAUUCGGUAAACGGUAACGAGUACCAUUUGCCAUACUAUCUCACAGACGGAAUUUAUCCUAAAUGGGCAACAUUUAUACAAUCAAUUCAUCUUCCUCAAGGAGAGAAAAACAAAUUAUUCGCAACAACUCAAGAAUCCGUCCGGAAAGAUGUGGAGCGGGCUUUUGGCGUUCUUCAAGCCAGAUUUGCAAUAAUAAAAAAUCCGGCGCUUUUCUGGGAUAAAGAAAAAAUUGGCAAGAUUAUGCGGGCCUCUAUCAUAUUACACAAUAUGAUAGUAGAAAACGAACGACAUGGCUACAUUUGAUACAAUUUAGAAGACUUCCAUCAAGAUGAAGAAAGCAGAAAUUCGCAUGUCGAUAUGACGUAUUCUACCCGUAUGUCUACAAAUGUCCAAAAUUUGAUGAUGGCAAAACGAAACGAAGUCCGUGACAACCAGAUACAUCAACGAUUAAAAGAGGAUUUAAUAGAAAAUAUAUGGAAUAAGUUUGGUUAAGUUUUUAAAUUUUUUCAUGUAUUGUAUGUUUCUAAUUUCCUUGUAUUAAAUUUUACUCUUAUAUAUUGUAUGUUCUAAAAUAAUGUGUAAUAAAUUGUAUUUCUUUUAUUAUAAUAAAUGUGUGUUUUUGUUUAAAAAAAAAAUCUAAAUUUCAAAAAAAAAAAAUAAAUCUCGGGAUGAACCCCAAAAUGGAAUUCACUACUGGAACCCCUAUUUUCACCCGAGUUCUUCCCAAACCACCCAACUAAAAAAUAUAGUUUUUUAAUGCUGAUGAACCCCUCUAAGGGGUUCACUAGUGGACUUGCUCUUACCUUUUCUUUGUCCUUUCUUUCAUUUCCAAUUUUUCUAUAAAACUUUAUUUAUCAAUAUAUAGCAUUACUACAUAAUUUAUAAUAUUGUUAUUAUUAUGAUAUAUCAUCAUGUUCAUCAUUGCGCCUUGCGACUGUUCUUACCACUGUUAUUUAACUGUUGGAGUUUUAGAAUCCUGGAAACUGAAAAGAUUGAAUAAUGUGAUCUAAAGCCUCUAUUACUACCCUAUUCUUCUGCAUUAAUUCAUAUUAUUAAAAAAUAUAUAUUGAACUCGACUGAAUACAUUUUUUUUUCUUUUAUUGUCAACGGUUCAAAAAUACAAUAUCUAUAUAAUCUUCUCAAAAUUUUAAUAUAACUCAGUAAUUGAAUAUACUAAUUAAAUAAAUAAUUUGUAAAAUGAAUUAGACGCGUAAGAACAAAGUAAUUUUGUUAUAUCAUAGGUUUAGAGUUGCACAACUUUAAGAUUCCCUCCAGGGCCGACUUCUACUUUGUAGCGUUUAAAGUUCGACUUUUUUCUAUGCUUUGUGCUUAGUACUUUAAAUGGAAAACAGACCACUCGUAGUGACGUUUAGUGAAAAUUAAUAUCGCAAGGGCCACAAAAACGAGAAAUGGGCCUAAAUCUGGGCCAGUCCAUUGCAUUCUAUCUCAUUUUUGAUUAAUCAAUUUUGUUUUUUUUGUUUUUAAUUCAGAACACGUAUUACAAAAUUUGGCUGACGUUGACUGCCCAUCACCCCAGCUCCUUCUCUGUCAUUUGCUUUCCGAAUAAUGGGUGGCAUUAAACGACAUCGUGUAAGCGUCGCACGAACCUUCUUCCUCCUCUCUUCGCAUCUUGAAACAAAAUUCGAUGUGCUCUCACUUUCAAUUCUGGGCGUGAUCUAGUAGGAAUCGGCAGCGAAUUUUAUAUUUUGUUCCACUUUCGAAGUCACAAUCUCGACGAACUCUUUCUAGCAACUACCUCUUCUUCUGAUAUUUCAACUGUCUUUUCUUCUUCUUCUUCUUCUUCUUCUGCUAAGCCAACCUUCAUAUACAUAUAUUUUCUUCCGAUAAACUGGGAGUCUGUGUGUUUUAGUUUUUUUCUUAUUUGUAUGAGGAGGCAAACUUUCUGAGAGGUUGAAAUGAAGUUUUCGAGCUGGAUUUUGAUCUUCCUCGUUUGUAAUCUUACCGUCUCGACGAUUUCUGCUUUCCGUCUGAGCCGAAGUCAACCAACCGAGCGAAUUUCAGGUGAGUUCUAUCUACUCAUGCAGAGAUGUUAAUCUCAGGAUUUAGUGAAUGAUUGCUUUUCCCCAAUUUUUUACUUGGAUUAAGCAGUAGUGAGCUCUGUGGUCAUCAACUUACACAGCGACUCGAAUGAGGACUAGGGUUUAUUUUUGGUCUAAGUCUUUCUGUGAUUGAUUUUCAUUUUCACGCAUUGUUUUGGAGUCUAAUUGAAUCUGGGGAUAGUGUAAAGCAGGAUGCAUAUUGAUUUGUCAUGCAAGAAACAAUAGUCAUUCAACAGUUAGCCAAUCCAGUAUCAUGUCAUUUUGAUCUUUUUAACUUUAGUUUUGCAAUAUCUCUGAGUUUCUGUAGAAUUUCUUACUUAUCUAUCCAUAGCCUUUCCUUAGUGAUAUCCAUGUUUUGAUGCUCGAAUCAAAAUCACGUGAACUUUAAGUGUGUGCGUGGUUUUUUUGUUUUAUGAUGUGUAGGUAGUGCUGGUGAUGUGUUGGAAGAUGAUCCCGUGGGAAGACUGAAAGUCUUUGUUUAUGAGCUUCCAAGCAAAUACAACAAGAAGAUACUACAGAAGGACCCGAGAUGUCUCACCCACAUGUUUGCUGCUGAGAUCUAUAUGCAACGGUUUCUUUUGUCCAGUCCAGUUCGAACACUUAAUCCUGAGGAAGCUGAUUGGUUCUACGUCCCAGUGUACACCACUUGUGAUCUCACUCCAAACGGGCUUCCUCUGCCCUUUAAAUCUCCCCGAAUGAUGAGAAGUGCUAUUCAGCUCAUUGCUUCCAACUGGCCUUACUGGAACCGCACUGAAGGAGCUGACCACUUCUUUGUUGUGCCUCAUGACUUUGGAGCCUGCUUCCAUUAUCAGGUAAUCCAAAUAAUCUUCUCUGAAUCUCUUGUUAUGUGCCCCUGCUUCAUCUAUGCUUUCUGCACAAAACUUGAUGCACAUUGUGAAUGAUUGUGUGCUACUGUUUGAAAUUAUCUCUAGCUCUGCAAGUUGUGAAGAAAACAUUGUUUCAUACAUUUUAACUGAAUCAUAGACAAUCCAGUUAAAUACUGUUUGUGUUUGGAAUAUUUUUUGGGGCUGAGUUAUGUGCAUGUUUCAUGAUGUCCCCCUGUACCUCCUUCUGAACUAACCAAAAGUCCGUAGCUAGUGUUGAGUAAAUCUUAAUACUCAGUGUUAUACUCUCUAACAUUGGCAAUUAACUUGACUUCCAAGCCCUUUUUGAUGUAACAAAAGCUUUUAUUUGGACGUAAGCCGUAAUAUAUCCCUUCCGCCAUGACUACCAAAGAUUCUUUCCAGCUAUACUGCAAACUUAAAAAAAUACGCACUGAUCUCUUGUUUUUCUUCUACUGUGGCAGGAAGAGAAGGCAAUAGGAAGAGGAAUACUACCCUUGCUUCAACGGGCUACACUGGUGCAGACAUUUGGUCAGAGAAAUCAUGUUUGCUUAAAAGAAGGUUCAAUCACUGUUCCUCCGUAUGCUCCACCGCAGAAGAUGCAGUCACACUUGAUUCCCGAGAAAACUCCUCGAUCCAUCUUCGUUUAUUUCAGAGGAUUGUUUUAUGACGUGGGAAAUGACCCCGAGGGUGGUUAUUAUGCGAGGUAAUUUGAUCUGAAUGCUUAACCAUGCAAUGAAGGUUCAUAGACUUACUACCAUCCCUGAAUUGCUCAUAUAAUCAGCGAUGAUAUUUUCUUUGUCAAAAUGGGCACAGGGGCGCACGAGCAGCUGUGUGGGAAAACUUCAAGGACAAUCCACUGUUCGACAUCUCAACAGAGCACCCGACAACAUAUUAUGAGGACAUGCAGAGAGCAAUCUUCUGCUUAUGCCCACUUGGAUGGGCCCCAUGGAGUCCAAGACUUGUGGAAGCCGUGAUCUUCGGUUGCAUCCCUGUGAUCAUAGCAGACGACAUCGUCCUACCUUUUGCAGAUGCGAUCCCUUGGGAAGAUAUUGGUGUGUUUGUUGAUGAGAAGGAUGUUCCUUACCUGGACACAAUACUGACAUCGAUCCCACCGGAGGUUAUACUGAGAAAACAGAGGCUGUUGGCUAACCCGUCGAUGAAACAGGCGAUGCUGUUCCCGCAACCGGCUCAACCAGGGGAUGCGUUUCAUCAAGUGUUGAAUGGAUUGGCUCGUAAGCUGCCUCAUGAGAGGAAUGUGUAUCUUAGACCAGGUGAGAAGCUGUUGAACUGGACGGCAGGACCGGUUGCUGAUCUGAAACCUUGGUGAGGACAAAGGUGAUAGAAGAGAGGUGGAAUUUGAUAGAAUUGAUUCUUUUGGUUAUUGGUUGUUCUCUUCUUGUUUCUGUAUUUUGUAGAAUCAGAACCCUUUUUUCUUCUUUUUAUUUGUUCUGUAGAACGGAAAAUGCUUCAUCAUUGUAAUGAAACUAGAAUCUUUUUGAGAGUUUGACAUUCCACGAAAAAAAAAGAGCCAAAAUUGGUUCUCGUUCUCUUUACGUUUUUCAAUCAUUCUAGAGAAAAUUGAAAUCGAAUGCAUCUUUCUCUAUGUGUAUAGGUUUGUUGUGUUCACAGAUGAAGUGAAUUUAAUGAAGUGAAUUUAUCUAUGGCAAAAAUUAAUUAUUCUUCUCGUGAAGUGGAACCUCGUAUGAAAAAAGGUAAAUUGCCGUUUACUAAACUAGUAGAGAAAUAGUGAUUUUUGUUAAAAAGUCCGACCUGCCGGAAUCGAACUAGCGACCUAAAGAUUUCUUUGGGAGAACCCACUACAGUCUUCCGCUCUACCAACUGAGCUAAGGUCGGUUACUAAUUUGAUUCGUUAUUGAUUAUACAUAAUUUAUAAUUACGAGAACUCUAAGUGAAGCUCACCACCAUUGACUUACCAAGUGGGAUUGAUUUUCAUACCAAAAAGGAGUGAAUGAAGUGGGAUUGAGUUUCAAAAAACCUUUGACCGAAAACGAUGGCACUAGACGAAAGCAACAUAAUUUAUUCAAACGUUAACGAAACUUUCAACAACCCUCAGAAGUUUAUCUCACGUCUCUCUGCAAAGAAUUUGCCGGUCACCGCCUCUUCAGAGAGAACCAUGCUAAGCCAAACUCCGGUAUCAGCUGCAUCUUCAGGCGACAUAUUUCCGGCGUAGCCAGUCAUUGCAGUCUUCACCCAACCAGGACAAAAGCUAUUAACAUAAAUCUUCUCUCCCUCUUGUCUCCUCAAAAGUUCUUUAGCUACUAGUCUCGUGUAUCCGUUGACGGCAAGCUUAGACAUGGAGUAGUCGGUGAAUGUCUGAGGCCACCCGCCUGACUCCCAAGUUUUGUCUUUUACUUGGUCGAUGAACUUAGACACAGUUCGGUCUAUGAGUUCUUCCGUCAGCAAAUCCGGAUUGCUUAGCUUCUCUCUCAACUCUACAUUUGCAAGUCUCUGCACAGGAAAACGCAUGCAGUUUCACGGCAAUUUCUUUCAAUUACAAUUCAAAGAUAAGAGUGAAAUGGUUUACUUACAUUACGUCUUCCAUUUACUCGACCUAGCCUGGAACUAACGUUAACAAUACGAGCGCCCUGAGGAGACGGUCUCAUCAGUGGUAUCAUAGCUUUUAUCAUGUUUUUGGUUCCUUGGUAAUUGAUAGAUAUAACUGUCUCAGCAAAUUCAACCGAAUUAUCUGAGCCGAGAUUGUAGUUGACUCCUGCGUUGUUCACCUGAAAUUUUACAGUCACACGAACGAAUGCAUAUAAUCAGCUAAAGAAAAAAAAACAGAAGAACUAUCCUCUAACAUUACAUAUCCAUAGGAUCUUACGAGAAUAUCUAGACCUCCAAAUGUUUGCUUAAUCCAGCAAGCAAACUCUUUAAUCGACGAGGAGUCACUGACAUCAAGCUGAUGAAAAUCAACUCUGAGACCCUCUUGGUUCCUCAAGGAAUUAACUGCUUCAAGACCAGCAUCCACGUUUCUGGCUGUAAGAACAACCGUCAAUCCGUGGCUCGCAAGCUGCCUUGCGAUUUCGAACCCAAUUCCUCGGUUUGAACCGGUCACCACUGCUACAUUUUCACAAGACCACCAUCUACAAAGCAUUCAACGCCUAAUCAGAAAUCAGAAGAGGGCAUGAAAGACAUAAUUUUUUUCUUUUCAGUUUCUCCAAAACCUAUUGGUUUAGUUAACCCAUAUCUAUAAGUACCAACGGUAUGAACAUAAACAGAGUCAAUGGUAUGAACAUAAACACUCGAUCUCUAUCUCCAAAUCCAGAACAAUACAAAGCUAAACUCAUCAAACAAUUUGACAACUAUAGCUAAAACACUGUACGGGAACCUAGAAAUGGACGUAAGCAAGUCAUAGUAUCAUAGUAGAGAUUAACACCUCAAUGAUAGCACAAUGCUUGUGAAACUGAGAUUUCCGCAGAGCAAAUCGCAAUGAUAUUGGUAAACAAACCAGCCGAAUUAAUUAGGUUCGAUUCAUACCUCUGGCGGUCAGAGUAAGGAAUGGUUCGAAGGAGAGAGAUCUCCUGCAUCCUUUUCUCCCUUCUCUCCCGCGCUUUCUCCUUGUUCGUCAUCGCCUUCUUCCUCGGCCUAGUUGUGUUGGGGGUGUACGGUUUGUAGUAGUCUUGUCCGCAGGGAAUCAAAUUCAAUAUAUCAGCCGAGUGAUCUAAAUUAUUUAAUGGGAACCUUCAACUUUUGACAAAAACACAUAUUAGCCUUAAACCUUUUAAUUUCACUAUUUAAUCCAAUUGCAGCGACAAAUCUUUCUUCCUUCCAGAUUCUUCUCAACAGAUAUUGACAUAUUACAAGAGCUCUGUUUCACAACUCUAUAAAACACAAAAAUGUUACUUUCCGAAGAUUUAAGUAAGACCUUCAAUCCAGCUGCUAGCGUCUUGCUUCUUUGCUUUGGUCUUCUUCAUCAGUCUCCUCAACUCCAUAACACUUGUCCAAUCUCCUUUCUCGCCAUGAACUCUACACAGAACAUCAUAAGCCGCGGGAUGCUCUCUUCUCAGCCUCGAGAUUCCCUCAGCAGCAACUUCACCGAGCUCCAAACAUGAAUGCAAUCCGCAAGCCCUGAGCAAAGCCCCCCAAAUAACAACAUCUGGCUCAAAAGGCAUUCCCUUUAUCAAUCUCUCUGCUUUAUCUAAGUGACCGGCCCUCGCAAAUAGAUCCACCAUACAUGCAUAAUGCUCCUUCUCUGCAGCUAUACCAAGCCUACCCAUCAACAUGAACUGUUUUUGCCCUUUUUCCACUAGCCCAGCAUGAGCACAAGCCGAUAACAAGUUAAUGAAAGUCACCUGAUCAGGCCUGUAACCACACUCUAUCAUCUUCUCGAAUUCCUCUAAAGCAUCCACUCCUAAUCCAUGUCUUGCGAAACCUCCUAUCAUCGAAUUCCAUGAAGCCGGAUUCUUCAAAGGCAUCAACUUAAACACACGUGAAGCAGCGGUAAUAUCACCUGACUUGGCAUACAUAUCUAUGAGCGAAGUCGACAGGACUAUGUCACAAGCCAUUCCGCGCUUUGUGACCAUUGAGUGCACUUGUUUCCCCAUAAGAAGCGACGAAGAAGCUGCACACGCUUUUAAAACAGUCGAAAAUGUGUAGUGGCUUGGCCUAUUAUUCCAAGAUUCAACCAUUUCCCGAAAAAGCAUCAGAGCUAUUCUAAAUUCCCUGCUCUGUACGUAGCCAUUGAUCAUCACAGUCCAAGAAAAGACAUUCUUUUGACUCAUUCGAUUGAACAAUUCUCUAGCUUUAUCGAUCUUGGUGUUGUUUAUGUAUCCAAUUAACAUUGUGUGCCAAGUAAUGAUGUUCCUCUCCGGCAUUUCACCGAAUGCUCUCUCACCAUCUUCCACAAAACCUAAUUUCAUGUAACCCGUAAUAAACACAUUCCACGACACCACAUCCUUGAACAAAAUAUCCUCAAAAACUCUUUCUAAACCCCUGAAAUCUCUAAAGCUUGUGUAGGCUCGUAACAAAGCAGACCCAGUAUAAGGGCUUAAGCUAAGCCCUAAUCGAAUAGCAAGCGUGUGAAUUUGCAAAACAGAAACCUUAAACGUAGAUCCCAAUACUGCAUCCAUUAUCGCAGGGAGGGUAAGCUCAUCUGGAUUCAACCCAGAUCUCCGCAUUGCUAUAAAAAAACUAACAACACUUUCUGGAUCUCUGGUUUUCUUCAAACCCAUGAGCAUGGUGUUCCACGACACCAUAUCUCUGACAGGCAUUUGAUCGAACACCUGGUGAGCUUCCAACAUAAGACCACGCUGAACAUAAGCAGUAAUCAUCAUGUUCCAUGUUGAAUUGUCCAGCGAUGUACGGUUUCGAUCAAACAGCUUGCGUGCUUCAACCAAACCAUCCUCCCGCAAGUGAUCGUUGAUCAAACGGUUGAGAGUAGCCUUUGGUAUCGUGAAAAUCCGGCGCGAAAAAUGUCCGCAUAGAAAAGUUGCACUUGUCUCUAACGUGCGCAUUUAGCCAAAUGAGCGGGUCAAGUUUUCACACCCAAAGCGGGUUAUUAGACUGGAUCCAAAUUCAAUUUGUACUAAACUACAAACAAGUGUAAUUAAAUAAUUGUAAUUAAUCUUUGGUUAUCUAUCAUGUCACAUAAUUAUAAUCUGUAGUUAUCUAUCAUGUUACAUAAGUAAAUGUUAUUGAAAGAGGAUAGCUAAAUAGUUAUCAUGUAACAUAAUUAUAAUCUGUCGUAUGUUGUUAUCUAUCAUAUGUUACAUAAAUGUUAUUGAAAGAGGACACCUACAUAAUACCGGGUUUGUGACGAGAGCGAUGACCUCAUUAGAUACACGUGUCAAGUACGUAUACCGGACCUAGCGUCUACGUCUCUGCGCUUAUGGGCGUUCGCAUUUCACAUGAUAAAUAGAUAACUCUCGAAUUGUUCCUCGUAGGCACUCUCCAUAGCAAUACAGACUUUUUUUUUUUCUCCGAUCACCGAUGAGAGUGUCAAGUUUAACAAACCUUUAAAGAAGCGGGAAAAUCAUCAGUUUGCUGGGAAUCUCCUUUAUCCGGUACCCACGUAAACUCUCUCUCUGUUUGCCAUCGUUUUUUUUCCUCUGUGUCUAAAUUUCGCGAUCGAAUUCUUGGAAUUUCGCAAUCGAAUUUCGGGUUUGGAAUCCAAAAUCUAGACACAGAGAUUGAGAACGAUAGUUCCGUAGUAUAUGCGUUCGGAUAUUGGAAGUCAUAUUAAAGGGAGUUCCUGUCUGUGUCUCUGUUUAUGGAUGUUCUGAAAUUUUAGAUUGUUUGUGUUCAAAGUUUGAUUGUAAUUCAGGGUUAUACGAAAUGAGCUUCCGAUUUAUCUGUUCUAGCUAGCUUCCAUGAGUCACGGGUUGUUGGAAAAUUUUCAAAUUUUGGUGGUUAAGUAUGCGCAUAUGCUGAAAAUCCUCUAGUUAAACAAGGCCUCUAACUGGUUUUUCCUCUAGUGUUUAUAGUAUGAUUCCAAUCAAAUUCGAACAAAACUUUAGAGAUAUUUAUGCAUUAAUGAUUAGUUUCAUUUUGAGUUUCAUUUCUUACCAUACUGAUCUGGAAACAGGACAGAAUGGCUCGUUAUGGCGGGAGAUCGCUGAAAUCUUCCUUAGUUCUUCUUCUGGUCGCAUUGAGCACAUCACGUAGCCACGGCUUUCUUGGAACCGAGAAAAAGAUAAAGUCUGAAGUUUUCUUAUCACCAAAACUGGUGAUGAAUCCAGGAAACGCUGCAAAUCCUUUCCUAUUCGACAUCGACUUCCCGAGAGGGCAUUACGGCCUCAAAGGUUUCGAUGCUGAAAUGGUUGACGAAGAAGGCAAUCCCGUACCUCUACACGAGUUAUAUCUUCACCACUGGGUUAUUCAACCUUACUAUGUUCGUAAAGGUUUUGAGCUUUCACAGCGAGACAUGCCUAGAAAUCACGGAUUUGCGAGGCAAGAUCCCGGAAGGAAUCUUGGUUCGAAAUCCGAUUUUAUUCUUGUCAACAAUGGAGGGCUGUGCAGGAAUAAUGUAAGACAUUACUUUGGUUUAGGAUCAGAAACCCGCAAAACCUCGACGUAUCUUCCUGAUCCUUACGCGAUUGAAAUCGAUAAUCCUGAGGAAAGGCCUGAUGGAUAUGAAUUCAAAUGGCUUCUAAACCUUCACGCGAUAGACACAAGAGGCGUUGUAGAUAAAUCAGGAUGCACCGAGUGCCGUUGUGAUCUGUAUAAUGUAACCAUUGAUGAGUAUGGUCGAGCUAUAAGACCCGACUACAAUGGAGGUUUAUACUGCUGCUACGAUAAGACGCAAUGUCGGGUGAGAAAUGGAUUUGACAAUGGGGAGAAAACAAGAAGUGUGUAUCUGAAAUAUACCGUGAAAUGGGUUGAUUGGGAUAGCACGGUUUUGCCCGCUACGAUUUAUAUCCUCGAUGUUACAGAUUCUUGGGAACGAUCACAAGGAUCAACAGGAGAUAGCCAGGAACAUUAUUGCCAUGUCAGUAAAAAAACUUUCGCAUCUUUGCUUAAUACCUUUACUUAGCAUUCUUUCUAAAAAAAUGAUCGGUGUCUUAUGUCUUUUCAGAUUGAAUACGAGGUGAAACCGUGCAAAACCAAUGGCGAUGGAUGCGUGGAUGUCAAGAAAAAGAGCUUAAUGAUGCCAUUUAACGGGUAUAUUGUUUACGGCGUAGCUCACCAGCACGCGGGUGGUAUCGGUGGUGCUCUAUACCGAGAGGUAAUAAAGUCUGAUUUUGUUUAAGCUAAUGCAGAACCAAACAUUAAAACUUUUUACUGAAUUGAGACCAUUGUGUUAUGUGGAUUGAUCAGGACGGUGAGAGAAUUUGCUCUUCGAUGCCAAAGUAUGGCAAUGGAGACGAACCUGGAAACGAAGCUGGUUACAUUGUUGGAAUGUCGUCUUGUUACCCUGAACCUGCAGUGAAAGUGACUAAGGGAGAGACAUUGACCUUGGAGUUUAAUUACAGUACCACCAAUGGUCAUACCGGAGUUAUGGGACUCUUUUACAUCCUCGUUGCUCAGCAGCUACCUGAACCGGAGAGCUCCUUGCCUGCACUCUUUCAGGUAACCACCCGGUGCCGGAACUCGGUUUAUUCAGACCGGCUUCAACACAUACACGGUUUUUGAGAUAUUGCCAUGUGGUUACUUUACUUAUGUUAGUAUUCAUCAUAUCUUUGCAGGCACAUGCGAAAAGCAUGAGCGUUUUAGCCUUCCUUGCGGUGAUGGUGGUGGUGGCGGUUAUUGUUCUAAUAGCCGCCGUGGUAUACCGGAGACAGAAUCGGGAAGAUGGUUACCAAUCACUUAGCACUUGAAAGUAAAACUAUAUGUCGGCUAGAUAUUUUUCUUUAGUGUGAUAUGUCGACCUAGAACUAUAAAUAAAAGAACUAGACCCAUGGGCGGGUGUAAGGUUUAUUUUGUAACAACAUUUAAGAAAUGUAUACUGGAGUUGGUGUAUUAAAAUGAUUGAGUUUUAUAUGAUCAGAUGGCAUUUUAAAUACAGUACGAUUCAUAAAAAUAUUAAUCAUAUAAUACCAUAAGUUUUGUCAACGAAUGUUUUAUCGUUGACGACAGAUGUAGACAUGUAGUAUAUUUCAUAUUUGGCAGGCAAUAUAAAUAAUUAUAUAGCUUUAUAGCUCUGUACGUAGCCAUUGAUCAAAAGACAUUCUUUUGACUCAUUCGAUUGAACAAUUCUCUAGCUUUAUCGAUCUUGGAGUUAUUUAUGUAUACAAUUAACAUUGCGUGCCAAGUAAUGAUGUUCCUGUCUGGGAUUUCACCGAAUGCUCUCUCACCAUCUUCCACAAAACCUAAUUUCAUGUAACCCAUAAUCAACACAUACCACAUCCUUGAGCAAAAUAUCCUCAAAUGCUCUUUCUAAACCCUGAAGUCCCUAAAACUUGUGUAGCCUCUUAACAAAGCAGACCCAGUAUAAGGGCUUAAGCUAAGCCCUAAUCGAAUAGCAAGCGUGUGAAUUUGCAAAACAGAAACCUUAAACGCAGAUCCCAAUACUGCAUCCAUUAUUGGAGGGAGGGUAAGCUCAUCUGGAUUUAACCCAGAUCUCCGCAUCGCUAUAAAACACUAACAGCACUUUCUGGAUCUCUGGUUUUCUUCAAACCCAUAAGCAUGGUGUUCCACGACACCACAUCUCUGACAGGCAUUUGAUCGAACAUCUGGUGAGCUUCCAACAUAUAAGACCACGUUGAACAUAAGCAGUAAUCAUCAUGUUCCAUGUUGAAUUGUCCAGCGAUGUCCGGUUUUGAUCAAACAGCUUGCGUGCUUCCACCAAACCAUCCUCCCGCAAGUGAUCGUUGAUCAUACGGUUAAGAGUAGCCGUUGGUAUCGUAAAAAUCCGGCGCGAAAAAUGUCCGCAUAGAAAAGUUGCACUUGUCUCUAACGUGCGCAUUUAGCCAAAUGAGCGGGUCAAGUUUUCACACCCAAAGCGGGUUAUCCAACUGGAUCCAAAUUCAAUCGGUACAUAUUCUAUUAAAACAAAAGCACAUUUAGUGUUUGCAUUCAAACACUCACAAAGUUUUUUAAUAAUAUUUUAUUUUAUUUUUAUAUUUAAUUUCCAAAAAUUAGUUAUUAAUUUAGAUAUUUUUAAAUUUCCUAAAAUCUAGGUCAUCUUUAAUUUAAAUUUCAAAUUAUUAGAAAUUUAAUUAAAUUUAGUUACAAAAUUUUGCAUUCAAUUUAAUUUAAAUUCAAAAAAUUCAAAAAAAAUUAUAAUUAAAUUUUAUUACAAAAAUUUAGAUAAUAAUUUUAAUACUUUAAAAAUCUCUUACAUACAAGAAAGAUUUAAUUUUAAAUUUUAAAUUUAAAUAAUAUUUUUAUUAAAAUGCAUAGUAAAUAAAUAUUUUAUCGUAUUUUAUCAUAAACAAUCGGUCUAAAAUAUCAAAUAUUUGAGAUUAAUAAAUAUUUAUAUUAUACAAUAAUAUGAUCGAACUGAUUAGAAUUAUAUAUAUAUAUAUAUAUUUAAGGUUCAUGAGUUAAUUUAUUGCAACAUGUAAGAUAUUAAGAUGAUUUGAGAUAAUUAAACUAACAAGUUAGCCCGUUUAUAUAUAUAUAUAUAUAUAUAUAUAUAUUUUUUAAUAGCACAAAUAGUAAAUAAAUAUCUUAUUAUAUUUUUUAUAAUCAAUUGAUCCAAAUAUUCCAUAUUAGUAAAUAUUUAUAGGGUUAUACAAUUAUAAUUAUAGUCUUAUACGGGUUAGUUUGUCAAAACAUGUAAGAUAUUAAAAAUGAUUUAAGACAACUAAACGGAUAGAUUAGCAAAUUCAUAGAUAUAUAGAUUGUUUAUGUGUAAAUCUAAAUUCAUAUAAUAACAAAGUUUAUAAUUAACAUUAGAUCAAUAUAUACUUAAUUAACGUAUACUCUUAUUCUACUAAUAUACAAAUUUUACUGUUUAAAAUUAAAUAUGAUAACAAUUUUUUAAUUUAAAAAAAUAAAUAAAAAAAUAAAUUAUAUCUAAAAAAAGAUAAAUGUAACUUAUAUUAGAAAUAAAAAAUAAAAUAUUAUCGUGCGGACGCACGGGGUUAAAAUUUAGUAUUAUAUCAAAACAGUAACACCUUUUUUAAACAGUUUUAAAUCUAUCCUAAUAUAUUUAAAUAUUAUUUUAAAAAACACAUUUUCUUUAAUAUAAAAAUUUAAUUCUAAAAAUUAGAUAUUAAUUUAGAUAACUAAGGAUUUCCUUAAAUAUACAUUAUAUUUAAUUUAAAUUCAAACUAUUUUUUGUAAUAACAUUAAUUUUAAAAAUAAAUAUUAAUUUAAAUUACUUUAGAUUUUCUUAAAUAUAGAUCAGAUUUAGUUUAACAUUGAAAUCCAAAUAAUAUUUUCAGGACAACAAAUAUAAUUAAUGAAUACCUUAUUGUAUUUUUUAAUCAUAUUCAAUUAGACUAAAAUUUUACAUGUUAAAAACAAAUAAAUAUUAAUAUUAUUGGUAAUUUGAUGGAACGGGUUAUGUUAUUUUAUAAUUGUGAUUUUAUGUGGAUUGGUUUAUCAAAACAUACAAGAUAUUAUAAUAAAUAUUAUUUUAAAAUGAGGAAAUAUUUAUAUUAUAUAGUAAUAUGAACAGACGGAUUAGAAUUAUAGUUUUAUAACUAUAGUUUUUUUUGGAUUAAUAGAAUGAGUGAGUUAUAAAUAUGUUUUUAUAAUAAAUUUUAUUUUUCGAUUAAUAGAAUGAUUAGGUUAGAAUUAUGUUUUUAUGAUUGUGAUCAUAAUAAUACUAAAAAAAUAUAAAACAUAAAUUAUAUCUAAACAUAAAAACAAAUUUUUAACACUUAUUAAAAAUUAUAUCUAUAAAAAUAUAUAUUACAAAUUGAUUAAAAAAAAUCGUGUGCGGAUGUAGAGGAUAAAAUUUAGUUGAUAAUUAUAAUCUGUGGUGGUCAUCUAUCAUCUCACAUAAAUGUCGAGUAUUUUUAUUGUGCAAGAGAAUUGAAAGAGGGUAAAUUAAACCGGGUUAGUGACGAGAGCGAUGACCUCAUUGGAUACACGUGUCACGUAUACCGGAGCUAACGUCCUACGUCUCUGCGCUUAUGGGCGUUCGCAUUUCACAUGAUAAAUAAAUAUAUAACUCUCGAAUUGUUCCUUGUAGGCACUCUUCAUAGCAAUACAUCUGCUUUUUCUCCGAUACACCGAUGAGGGUUUUAACAAACGUUUAAAGAAGCGGGAAAAUCAUCGGUUUGCUGGGAAUCUCCUUUAUCCGGUUCGUACCCACUUAAACUCUCACUCUCACUCUGUUUGUCAUUGGCUUUUUUCCUCUGUGUUUAAAUUUUUCGCGAUCGAAUUCUGGGAGUUUCGCAAUCGAAUUCCAGGUUUGGAAUCCAAAAUCUAGACACAGAGAUUAGGAACGAUUGUUCCGUGGUGUAUGCGUUCGGAGUCAUAUUAAAUGGAGUUCCUGUCUGUGUCUCUGUUUACGGAUGUUCUGAAAUUUUAGAUUGUUCGUGUUCAAAGUUUGAUUGUAAUUCAGGGUUAUACGAAAUGAGCUUCCGAUUUCUCUGUUUUUGCUGGCUUCCAUGAGUCACGGGUUGAUGGAAAAUUUUCAAAUUUUGGUGGUUUAGUAUGCGCAUGUGCUGAAAUCUUCUGGUUAAGUUUAGGGUCAAAGUGGGUUUUCCUCUAGCUCAAAUUUUCGAACAAAACUUUUGAGAUAUUUAUGGGUUAAUGAUUAGUUGAAUUUUGAAUUUCAUUUCUGACCUCUCUAUACUGAUCUGGAAACAGGAGAGAAUGGCACUUUAUCGCGGGAUCUCUUCCUUCGUUCUUCUUCUGGUCGCAUUGAGCACAUCGCCUAGCCAUGGCUUUCUUGGGACCGAGAAAAAGAUAAAGUCUGCAGUUUUCUUAUCACCAAAACUGGUGAUGAAUCCAGGAUCAGUUGCAAAUCCUUUCCUAUUCGACAUCGACUUCCCUAGAGGGCAUAUCGGCCUCAAAGGUUUCGAUGCUGAAGUGGUUGACGAAUCGGGCAAUCCCGUCCCUCUACACGAGACAUAUCUUCACCAUUGGGUUGUCCAACCUUACUAUGUUCGUAAAGGUUUCGAGCUUUCACAGCGAGACAUGCCCAGGAAUCACGGAUUUGCGAGGCAAGAUCCCGAAAGGAAUCUUGGUUCGAGAUCCGAUUAUAUUCUUGUAAAAAAUGGAGGGCUGUGCAGGAAUAGUGUAAGACAUUACUUUGGGUUAGGAUCAGAAACCCGCAAAACCUCGACAUAUCUUCCCGAUCCUUACGCGAUCGAAUUCGAUAAUCCUGAGGAAAGGCCUGAUGGGUAUGAAUUCAAAUGGCUUCUAAACAUUCACGCGAUAGACACAAGAAGCGUUGUAGAUAAAUCAGGCUGCACGGAGUGCCGGUGUGAUCUGUAUAAUGUAACCAUUGAUGAGUAUGGUCGAGCUUUAAGACCCGGAUACAAUGGAGGUCUAUACUGCUGCUACGAUAAGACGCAAUGUCUGGUGAGAAGUGGAUUUGAUAAUGGGGAGAAAACAAGAACUCUGUAUCUGAAAUAUACCGUGAGAUGGGUUGAUUGGGAUACCACGGUUUUGCCCGCUAAGGUUUAUAUCCUCGAUGUUACAGAUUCUUGGGAACGAUCACAAGGAUCAACAGGAGAUAGCCAAGAACAUUAUUGCCAUGUCAGUAAAAAACUUUCGCAUCUUUGCUUAAUACCUUUACUUAGCAUUCUUUCUACAAAAAGAUCGGUUUCUUAUGCUUUUUUUCAGGUGGAAUACGAGGUGAAACCGUGCAAAGCCAAUGGAGAUGGAUGCGUGGAUGUUAAGAAAAAGAGCUUAAUGAUGCCAUUCAACGGGUAUAUUGUCUACGGCGUAGCUCACCAGCACGCGGGUGGUAUCGGUGCUGCUCUAUACCGAGAGGUAAUAAAAUCUGAUAUAGUUUGAGUUAAUGCAGAAGAAUCAAACAUUGAAACUUUUUACUGAAUUGAGACCCGUGUGUUGUGGAUUGAUCAGGACGGUGAGGGAAUUUGCUCUUCGAUGCCAAAGUAUGGCAAUGGAGACGAACCUGGAAACGAAGCUGGUUACAUUGUUGGAAUGUCGUCCUGUUACCCUGAACCAGUAAGAGUGACCAAUGGAGAGACAUUGACCUUGGAGUUUAAUUACAGUAAUACCCAUGGUCAUACCGGAGUUAUGGGACUCUUUUACAUCCUCGUUGCUCAGCAGCUACCUGAACCGGAGAGCUCCUUGCCAGCACUCUUUCAGGUAACCACCCGCUGCUGGAACUCGGUUUAUUUAAACCGGUUUCAACACAUACACGGUUUUGGAGAUACAUGCCAUGUGGUUACUUUAUUUAUGUUAGUAUUUUUCAUAUCUUUGCAGGC
rnacentral:lncRNA from 1 species